UUUCACGUGGAGCCAGUCUUCCCCUCUUCUCUCACUGGUAUGGAGCCCAAAUGAAAUCUUUGCGUAUUUAACUCUGUCUUGGUGCCCAUCCUCAAGAGAACCGUACGAACAGAUUGAUGUUGAUUCAAAGCACAGCUUUGCAAGGCAAAGAACUAUGUAUUUGAAGGCAUACACUGCCCACCGGAUUGCCACUGGGCUUGGCCAUUGAAAUUGCUGGGGCUAGGGGACCAUGAGGCCGAGAGCUAGUGAGCCUGAGAAGAUUUCAAGAACCAGUGCACUGAGCAGACCAAACUCUCCCUUCCCUCUGCCAGUCUGGUGAGAAGGACCAGAGGAAGCUAUCAUACAGUAUUCCAGACCACCUGCGCUAGACAUCUGGACACCAAGAUACCCUGGCUUGAAGGAGUAAGACCUGGGCCCUCAUCUUUGUUCUCACGGGUUCCUGGAUGCCUAAGAGGACACCUACACCCGACCACCGACUGUCCUCAGUGAAAAACCCCAGACCUCAAGCAAAGACGAGGCUCUCUCUUUUCCUUUGAAUCCCCCCGACGCUGUCUGUGAUCGUACUCUCUCUGUACCUUCCAUAAACUCUGUUUUCGCCUCCUGCACGCAUCCAGGGACCCUCUUAAGUACCCCCUUAAGACUCUGGGUCUGCAGAACGGCCUGCCAGCAUCACCGGGAUGCCUUUUUACAUGCUCUUUAUAUUCUCUGUAUACUACACAAACGAAUCUAACUUGUAAAGAGCUAUACGAAUUAUAGAGUUCCCUUCAAUGGCUCAAUAAAUGGAGAACCCUGGCGCAGA